AGCCAACAAGCUCAGCCAAUAGAGAAUGCGACUCUUAAUCUCAGGGCCGUAGGUUCAAACCCCAUGUUGGGUG